rnacentral:rRNA from 1 species
CCUACGGGUGGCAGCAGUGAGGAAUAUUGGUCAAUGGACGAGAGUCUGAACCAGCCAAGUAGCGUGAAGGAUGACUGCCCUAUGGGUUGUAAACUUCUUUUAUAAAGGAAUAAAACGAGGCACGUGUGCCUUUUUGCAUGUACUUUAUGAAUAAGGAUCGGCUAACUCCGUGCCAGCAGCCGCGGUAAUACGGAGGAUCCGAGCGUUAUCCGGAUUUAUUGGGUUUAAAGGGUGCGUAGAUGGGUUGUUAAGUCAGUUGUGAAAGUUUGCGGCUCAACCGUAAAAUUGCAAUUGAUACUGGCAGUCGUGAGUACAGUUGAGGUAGGCGGAAUUCGUGGUGUAGCGGUGAAAUGCUUAGAUAUCACGAAGAACCCCGAUUGCGAAGGCAGCUUACUAAACUGUGACUGACAUUGAUGCUCGAAAGUGUGGGUAUCAAACAGGAUUAGAUACCCGGGUAGUC